rnacentral:rRNA from 1 species
GAUAAACGCUGGCAGCGUGCCUAACACAUGCAAGUCGAACGCCCUGGAGCAAUUCAGGGAGUGGCGGACGGGUGAGGAACACGUGGGUGAUCUACCUUGAGGUGAGGAAUACCGGCGAGAAAUCGCCGACAAUACCGCAUAGGUUCGUAAGAACAAAGUCGCAAGACGCCUGAAGAUGAGCCUGCGUCCGAUUAGCCAGUUGGUGGGGUAAUGGCCUACCAAAGCAGCGAUCGGUAGCUGGUCUGAGAGGACGAUCAGCCACACUGGGAUUGAGAACGGCCCAGACUCCUACGGGGGGCGA